rnacentral:rRNA from 1 species
UCCUGGCAGUAAACGGUGCUCAUUAGAUGUAGGCGGAUUCGACCCCGCCUGUGUCGAACCUAACGGAUUAAAUGAGCCGCCUGGGAAGUACGGUCGCAAGAUUAAAACUCAAAGAAAUUGACGGGGGCCCGCACAAGCGGUGGAGUAUGUGGCUUAAUUCGAUGCAACGCGAAGAACCUUACCUGGCCUUGACAUGCUUAGUUC